UAUUGUUCCACUCUUGCUAGCACCUAUGGAGCUCUGUUGUGGAUGAAAUUUCUUUUGCUAGUAAUUUGUGCUUCCUUUCACCGCUUUAGAUGACUACUCUGUGGUUUUUGUAGCUGCCUGCAUAUAUAUCUUUCCUUCCAUUGCUGAAUAGCACCUUUUACAUUUGUAACUUGUAUGCAAGAAAUGAGUAUGAAUUUAGAAAUGAGAUAAGUCUCUGUUAAAGACAGCUUUACCUUACCCCUCAGGAAUGUUCUGUUUGAAGCAGACCCAGCUAAUCCGGUGAGGCCACAUCUACACUUUAAUUCAGUUGCACUUUAAGCUGGGAGGAAAACUUACUACUGAACCGGUGAACUGAGAUGACCUCACACUACAGCUUUGCUUCUCUGGAAAAAUGAAGCUGUCAACAACAUAGGGAAAGACUUGUAACCACAGGAAACAAAUGUUC
rnacentral:lncRNA from 1 species